rnacentral:rRNA from 1 species
ACACUGUAAACGAUGGAUACUAGGUGUAGGGGGUAUCAACUCCCUCUGCGCUGUCGCAAACGCAAUAAGUAUCCCGCCUGGGGAGUACGACCGCAAGGUUGAAACUCAAAGGAGUUGACGGGGACCCGCACAAGCAGCGGAGCAUGUGGUUUAAUUCGAAGCAACGCGAAAAACCUUACCAAGACUUGACAUCGCAAGAAAGCCAUAGAGAUAUGGACCUCCGUAGCAAUACGGACUUGUAGACAGGUGGUGCAUGGUUGUCGUCAGCUCGUGUCGUGAGAUGUUGGGUUAAGUCCCGCAACGAGCGCAACCCUUAUAACUAGUUGCCAAUAUUAAGUUAGGAACUCUAGUUAGACUGCCGUGGAUAACACGGAGGAAGGUGGGGAUGACGUCAAAUCAUCAUGCCCCUUACGUCUUGGGCUACACACGUGCUACAAUGGCUACUACAAAGAGCAGCGAAACAGCAAUGCGGAGCGAAUCUCAAAAAGGUAGUCUCAGUUCAGAUUGUGGGCUGCAACCCGCCCACAUGAAGUAGGAGUUGCUAGUAAUCCCGAAUCAGCAUGUCGGGGUGAAUGCGUUCCCGGGUCUUGUACACACCGCCCGUCACGCCAUGGGAGUUGGUAGUACCCAAAGUCGGCGCGAUAACCCGCAAGGGAGUCAACCGCCUAAGGUAAGACCAGCGACUGGGGUG